rnacentral:rRNA from 1 species
CGCGUAGGUGGCCUGAUAAGGGUGUGGUGAAAGUCCGGGGCUCAACCCCGGAUCGGCCGUGCCGACUGUUAGGCUAGAGUACUGUAGGGGCAGGCGGAAUUCCGGGUGUAGCGGUGGAAUGCGUAGAGAUCCGGAGGAAGACCGGUGGCGAAGGCGGCCUGCUGGGCAGUUACUGACACUGAGGCGCGACAGCGUGGGGAGGCAAAACA